rnacentral:tRNA from 7 species
GAGCCAUUAGCUCAGCUGGUAGAGUAUCUGACUUUUAAUCAGAGGGUCAGAGGUUCGAAUCCUCUAUGGCUCA